rnacentral:rRNA from 1 species
GGUAGCCGGCCUGAGAGGGCGACCGGCCACACUGGGACUGAGACACGGCCCAGACUCCUACGGGAGGCAGCAGUGGGGAAUAUUGCGCAAUGGGCGAAAGCCUGACSCAGCAACGCCGCGUGGGGGAUGAAGGCCUUCGGGUUGUAAACCUCUUUCAGCAGGGAAGAAGCGAAAGUGACGGUACCUGCAGAAGAAGCACCGGCUAACUACGUGCCAGCAGCCGCGGUAAUACGUAGGGUGCAAGCGUUGUCCGGAUUUAUUGGGCGUAAAGAGCUCGUAGGCGGUUAGUCACGUCGGAUGUGAAAUCCCGGAGCUUAACUCCGGGCCUGCAUUCGAUACGGGCUGACUCGAGUGUUGUAGGGGAGACUGGAAUUCCU